GUGCUCGCUUCGGCAGCACAUAUACUAAAAUUGGAACGAUGCAGAGAAGAUUAGCAUGGCCCCUGCACAAGGAUGACAUGUAAAUUCAUGAAGCAUACACACACACA
rnacentral:snRNA from 1 species